ACGGGAGAGGGAGGGAGAAAGAGAAAGAAAAAGAAAAAAAGAGGGAACGAAGAGCACUAGAGAAAGGGAUGUAGAGCACAGAGGGGGGAGAAAGGGUUGGGGAGAAAAUGAACAGGAGCCACAGAGAGACAAACAGGCAAGGUCUGGGAGGAAGGGGGGAUUGGGAUUAUUUUGUUUUUGUAUGACUUUUUUUUUUUUUUUAAGAGCGGAGUUGUGGGUGACUGUUACGACUAAAGGUGUUUUCUGUGAAUUUGAAAAACUAAAUAAGGGUUCAGGAAAACGGAAGGGUUCCUAAGCGAGGCCAAGGAGGGGCAGCUGGGCGUCCGAGGAGCACAGCCUAAGUGGUGGCUGCCGCCCGCCCGGCAGCGGCGCGGAGCCGAGGGCGCAGAGCCGAGCGCGCGGCACGGAGCUGGUGCCGCCUGCGCCCGCAGCCCCUGUCUGUCCCGCCGCCCGCCGGUAAAACCCGCCAACUCCUCACUCCCGGCAGUGCUUAUUUGACAAGAAAGGUCUCCCUUUGCUGCCGGUAGCAUGCAGCAUCCAGAGGCCCCUCUGGAGACUUCUGCAGCAUUAAGGGACGUUUGGAGAGACAGAGAGGAAAGGGCUUGUGAGUCUUCUAGACAGUAUUCAUCUAAAAAGCCUGCCACAGUGCCUGGACACAGAGUCAUUUUCAAGAAAUAUUUAUGGAAAAGGAUGGAUCGAUGAAUAAAAAUGACACAAGCACCAAGCAAGAAACAAGACGGAAAUCAGGGCGUUGUGCACCAACGAUGAAAAGAUGAAAUCUCAAUGUACCAAGUUUUGCUUGGAGUAAAAGCGACAUAGUGUUGGAAACAGAAGAGAGGAAAACCAAGGGUGUGUUUAGGGUAUGACUCUAGGUAUCCUUAUUAGAGGUUUGAUAGAUUGGUGGUAAACCCCAGAUAAAUACUCUUGUGUUUGUAUAUUAUAUGUAUGUAUACUUGCAUGUGCUUGUUAACUAUUCCACAGUAGGGGGUCAGUUCUUCUCCACUCAUCUUUAUAACAUCCCCAAUUAGGCAAAUCCUAUUAGAUAUUGAUAAAGUCAUAGAAAGACCCAAUAGGAAAUGCAAAUCUUAUUUUAUCUCCUAUGUAGGUAGUGCUCCUAAGUGAGCAGCACGGUCAUACCCAGAUGCCCAGUAAACAAGAAUGUAUUGAGUGGUGGGGAAAACCAGCAUAAGGUUAAAGUUUAACCAGAGACAAUUUACCUUAGUAGGAUAACGAAUGUGGAUGUCUGGAAGGACUCAUGAUUCAAGUGACAGGCUAAAUUGAUUCUUUCUGGUUCUUGUUUAAUCAGUGUGUCAGUUCUCUAGACUGUUUCGAGAAACAAGGGGUUUAAGACUGUGUCAUUCUCAUCAACUAUCAUAUUGCAUUAGCAAUGGUUAUAGUUCUGGUUUCUAUUUAUACCAUGCGACUGUUUUUAGCCAAUCUAACUUGUGGCAGUUUGCCCAUUAUUUACAUGUUGCUUUAAAACACGUUGGUAAUAGAGAAUGAAAAGCUUGCUUUUCCUGAGAUGAGAAUAGAAAUGUCUGGGUUAUCAUGGGACUGACCGUGCACACACUUCACUUGUCACCAUCUUAUUAAGUCAAUUUCUCAAAAGGAAUUGCCAAACUUCUUGGCGUGUACAUUUAUCAUCCAUACAUGGGAAUCAUUAGACUAUGUAAAUGCUGCCUUUUUGGAGUCAUCUGUGCUUUAUGUUCACUGGGUGGAGUUACUCAGUAACAUAAAUAAACCACAGACAAAGUCUUAGACAAAAAGUUCUUUGGAUUGGGGAAUAAUAUAAUUUAAAAAAAUGUGUUUGUUGCUUCCAUGUGAGUUUUUGUUUAUGUUUUGGAUUACAGCCAUUGCCACCACUGUGCAAAAGCCAGAAAGAAAUCUAAUCAGGUGUUGCCCACAGGGUUGCAAUGUAUUAUAGUUUUCAGUUUUCACUACAUGUUACUGAGUCAAUAGACCCAGAUGCAGAAUACCUCCACUGGAGAGCUCUAAGGCACAGGCAUUCAGAAACAUUGUUUCAUAAUUAAAACAUGGUCCUAUCUCUUUGGAUCUCUUUAAAGAUAAAAUCUCCUUUAAAAAUGAUCCCACUCUUAAAAAAAAAAUAAAAAAAAUAAAAAAAAUAAAAAUGAUCCCACUCUUCUAAUUAGAAGUUUCCCCAAUUCUUUUUCACAAAUAUUAUGUCUAGUUUUGGUUUCCUGGAAAACAUGUGUCCAAUAACCCUUUUCUAAACAUAUAGUUAAUAUGAUUUCUUACAGUUCUCUAGCUUACAUCUCUUUGCCAGGAUAUCUGCUCCUUCAGCUAUGUAAAAGAAAUUAAAUUCUGAAAAACAAUAAAAUUUUCAGAGCACAGCUGGAAAGAAAUUCCAUGUAAUUCUCUCCCAUGUUUUCUUUAGAGUCUAGCCUUGUACCUCUCCUAGCUGCUUCACUGACUGUCAAAUAUUUUUAUUCUUCUCUUUCUGGUGCCUUCUGUAUCCAGACUACUGUCAAGUCCUGUUUAUUUAGUCAACAUUUCUUCCACACAUCCAUUCACUCAGCCUGUAUUUAUUGAACCUAUGUGUUAUGCAUGCCAAGGAUUAAUCUCAGGGCGUCAUAGACACAGCUGUCUGCCCCACACAUUCCCUAUCACUCACAAAGUACAGGCCUGAUUACUUCUCGUUCCAGCCAUUGAACUUGCUGCUUUGGGGCCUCAGAACAGUGGGCUGGCCUGCUGUAGCUCAGAGUACAUUAAAAUACAGUACCAUACUCUUGUUUCUUGAUUCCUUGACUCUUCCUCACUCUUUAU